rnacentral:rRNA from 1 species
CCCUGUGAGGGGAGUGAAAUAGUACCUGAAACCGUAUGCCUACAAGCAGUGGGAGGGCUAUGCCUGGGUAACCGGGAAUGCCUGACCGCGUGCCUUUUGCAUAAUGAGCCGGCUAGUUAUUCUCAGUGGCGAGGUUAAGCGAUAAGCGAGCCGUAGCGAAAGCGAGUCCGAAUGGGGCGUUCAGUCGCUGGGAAUAGACGCGAAGCGGGAUGAUCUACCCUUGGCCAGGAUGAAGCGUGAGUAACAUCACGUGGAGGUCCGAACUAGUGUUGGUUGAAAACAACUUGGAUGAGCUGAGGGUAGGGGUGAAAGGCUAAUCAAAUUCCGUGAUUGCCCGUUCUCCUCGAAAUGCCUUUAGGGGCAGCCUCGGAAGGUCGGCGACGGUGGUAGAGACAUGAUUGGACUAGGGGGCUUACCAGCUUACUGAAUCCAGCCAAACUUCGAAUGCCGUCGACACGUAUUCCGGGAGUGAGACUGUGGGGGCUAAGCUUCAUAGUCGAGAGGGAAACAGCCCAGACGACCGGCUAAGGUCCCAAACUUAGUGCUAAGUGGUAAAGGAUCUGAAGACGCUCUGACAACCAGGAGGUUGGCUUAGAAGCAGCCAUCCUUUAAAGAAAGCGUAAUAGCUCACUGGUCAAGCGGCUUUGGGCCGACAAUAUAACGGGGCUUAAGCACUAGACCGAAGCCGUCGAAUAGCGGAUCUUGCGAGGUCCGCGAUUGGUAGAGGAGCGUUCCCAAUGCAGCGAAGUCAGACCGUAAGGACUGGUGGAGCGUUGGGAAGUGACCCUGCCGGCAUAAGUAGCGAGAAGGGAAGUGAGAAUCUUCCCCGCCGUAAGCCUAAGGUUUCCUGAGGUAGGUUCGUCCGCUCAGGGUUAGUCGGGAGCUAACGCGAGGCCGAAAGGCGUAGCGGAUGCACAUCCGGUUAAUAUUCCGGAACUACCUAGAUAUCGUUAUCACGAUGGGGGGACGCAGGAGGCUAUACGAGCCUGGAGAGGGCCGCAAGGCGCCAGGUUGAGGUCUGUAGGGAGAUCCGCUAGGAAAAUCCGGUGGGUCAUAAUCCUGAGGGGCCGAAGCGAGUCCGCAAGGACACAAAGUCGUAGACGCCACGCUGCCGAGAAAAGCCUCUAAGGAGAUAUCUGGGUACCCGUACCGCAAACCGACACAGGUAGGCGAGGAGAAAAUCCUCAGGCGCAAGUGAGAACACUCGUUUAGGAACUCGGCAAAAUUGCCCCGUAACUUCGGGAGAAGGGGUGCUCCGUUACCGUUAGUGUCCACGCGGCAUGAAGCGGGAGGGAGUUGCAGUUAAGAGGCCCAAGCGACUGUUUACUAAAAACACAGGGCUCUGCUAAGUCGAAAACGACGUAUAGGGUCUGACGCCUGCCCGGUGCCGGAAGGUUAAAAGGAGGGGUUAGCCGCAAGGCGAAGCUCUGAAUUGAAGCCCCGGUAAACGGCGGCCGUAACUAUAACGGUCCUAAGGUAGCGAAAUUCCUUGUCGGGUAAGUUCCGACCUGCACGAAUGGCGUAACGAUUUGGGCGCUGUCUCAACGAGUGGCACUGCGAAUUUGUGGUACCGGUGAAGACGCCGGUUGCCCGUCACAAGACGAAAAGACCCCGUGCACCUUUACUACACCUUAGUAGUGAACGCUGGCGUCGUAUGCGCAGGAUAGGUGGGAGGCUUUGAACCCAGGUUUUCGGAUUUGGGGGAGCCAACGGUGAGAUACCACCCUUACGACUCCGGUGUUCUAACUGCAGCCCGUCAUCCGGGCUCAGGACACUGCUAGGCGGGUAGUUUGACUGGGGCGGUCGCCUCCUAAACGGUAACGGAGGCGCGCGAAGGUUCGCUCAGGCUGUUUGGAAAUCAGCCGUAGAGUGCAAAGGCAUAAGCGAGCUUGACUGCGAGACAAACAAGUCGAGCAGGUGCGAAAGCAGGCCUUAGUGAUCCGGUGGUCCCGCAUGGAAGGGCCAUCGCUCAACGGAUAAAAGGUACGCCGGGGAUAACAGGCUGAUCUGAGCCAAGAGUUCACAUCGACGCUCAGGUUUGGCACCUCGAUGUCGGCUCAUCGCAUCCUGGAGCUGUAGCAGGUUCCAAGGGUCCGGCUGUUCGCCGGUUAAAGCGGUACGUGAGCUGGGUUUAGAACGUCGCGAGACAGUUCGGUCUCUAUCUGUGAUGGGCGGAGGAAAUUUGAGUGGGGCUGACCUUAGUACGAGAGGACCGGGUUGGACGGACCUCUAGUGUACCGGUUAUCACGCCAGUGGUAGCGCCGGGUAGCUAAGUCCGGAAGGGAGAAACGCUGAAUGCAUCUAAGCGUGAAACCCUCCACAAGAUGAGAUUUCCCUGGACGUAAGUCCCUGAAGGCUCCUGGUAGACUACCAGGUUGAUAGGUCGGGUGUGGAAGCGUAGCGAUACGUGGAGCUGACCGAUACUAAUUAGCCGUGAGGCUUGACCAU